UCCGCGGCUGCAGCAGCAGCCGGUGCCGAGUCGGUGCAGCAGGACCAGGGGGUGGGAACUCCCCUCUCCUUCCCCACUUCGGACAAACACAGCUGUUGCCUGCCUACCUCCCUCCUCUCCCUCCUACGCGGGUGUCUUGAAGGUGCCAGGGAGGAGGCGACGGGGGCGCAGACUGGAGGUCCCUGGGUAAAAGGGGCUCGCUUUGCGGACUUCGCCCAGGGCUGCUGCGGUGGGAGCUCACAGCUACUGCCAGGACCAGGAGCGGGGGAGGAGACUGCAGUUCCUUCCCCCUCUUCCCUUGCAUGCUCGUUUUUCUUUUUUCCCCCUCUCCUCUGCCUUAGUCUUCCUCUUCUCCAGAUUUUCUCCCCCUCCCUUUUGUCUUUCCCCCAAUAUUUCUCUCGCCUCCUUUAGGGUGCUGUGUUGGGGGCUCAGAGCUAGCUGGGGAGGACGAUCAGGAAUGGGGGGUGGGCAGAUUUCCCUGCUUGCCCGUGUGCUGAUUGGAAGAGGCGAUCGUGUCUGUGUCCGAAGGAUUAACAGCUAAACUUUUAUUUCUGCUUCUGUGCGCGCUCUCUGUGUAAGUAAAUGGGGGAGCCUCCGCUUCAAGAGAGAACGCGGCUUGUUUCCUUUUUGCCAGCUGCAGCUGGUGGGGUGGGGAGCAAGGAAGAUUUUCUGUAGGACAUAAAAGUGCAGGAGAGGGGGAAAACCCCUCCUCUCCAAGAAGCUACAAUCUCUUCCCCCUCCACCCACCCGUGGAAUGCGUGGAAGAAUCUCUGGGGUUUUCUUCUGCUCUUCACCCUGGACUGGAGGAGUGAGGGAUCGCUCUCUGUCUAGCUAGCUCUCCAGCUAGCCCCGGGAGGAUUUGAGCCGGUGCCCUGUGCUUUCAGCUGCUGGCUGCUCCUGCUUGAGACUAUGCACCACGCAGAGAGGGGCUGCAAAAAUGGAUUUGCUCCAUGUUAAGGGAUUGCUUCUCUAAUAAGGAUUGCGUGGCCCACAAAUAUGACUAAAUCCCCUGUUUGGUAAACCGCCCUGCCCCCUCCCCUUUGGGCUCCCUCCCCGCACCCCACCCCUUCAGAGGAGCCAGCCCGGGGAGCUGAUGACGGACCCAUUAAUCCUUUCUUCAAUGCAUCAAAAGAGCCCAAAGGGCUGGGCAACGCUGGGCUCGCAGUCCUCCAGGAAAUGCUUCGAUCGGCUGUUGGUUUUGUAUGAAACUGGUGAUUAGGAGGGGGGGAGUGUUGAGCGAGCGAGCCCCCUCCUCGUUGGCUGCUGCCUCUUUCCUGGCCCCUUCUGAUGUGCUCUUUGCCAGGUGCUUGUCCUACGGGCUCUUCCUCUGCUGCCUACCGCCGCCAGUUAUGCAGACUCCCUAUCGUCCUCCCCGGCUGCUGCUUUUGAGAGGCUUCAGAGAUGAUGGUGGUGUGGAGGAGGGUGGUUCUGGUGUGAUGGGCUGGAGACGGUGGUGAUCGUCUGGAGGAGAAAGGAAGGGCUCCUGCUACUCCCCUUCGCUGUGUGUAUGUGUGUGGGCUUCAGUGUUUCUACUCCAUCCUCUCCCCACCACUGGAAGUCCUCCCGUAUCUAAAUGGAAUUAGUGGAGAUCGAAGCCCCUUGUGUAAGGAACAGACAUGAUCCAUGGGCGCAGUUUGUUUCACAUUGCAGCAAGUCUAAUCAUCCUACAUCUGGCUGGGGCAACAAAAAAAGGAACAGUAGAAAAGCAAACGACUUCAGAAGGGCAGAAACCACUGCAGUGUGGAACUUGGACAAAAUAUGCAGAAGGAGGCAUCUUCACUUCUCCCAACUAUCCCAACAAGUAUCCUCCUGACAGAGAGUGUGUCUACAUUAUAGAAGCUGCCCCCAGACAAUGUAUUGAGCUACACUUUGAUGAAAAAUAUUCUAUAGAGCCUUCUUGGGAGUGUAAAUUUGAUCACAUUGAAGUGCGAGAUGGACCUUUUGGCUUUUCCCCAAUCAUCGGACGUUUCUGUGGACAGCAAAAUCCACCUGUGAUAAAAUCUAGUGGUAGAUUCCUGUGGAUUAAAUUUUUUGCUGAUGGUGAGCUGGAAUCGAUGGGAUUUUCUGCUCGAUAUAAUUUCACACCUGAUCCAGACUUUAAGGACUUGGGAGUUUUGAAACCGUUGCCAGUUUGUGAGUUUGAGAUGGGAGGACCUGAAGGAAUUGUGGAAUCUGUGCAAAUUGUGAAGGAAGGAAAAGCUUCUGACACGGAAGCAGUUGACUGUAAAUGGUACAUCCGAGCACCACCACGAUCCAAGAUCUAUUUACGCUUCUUGGACUAUGAAAUGCAGAAUUCUAAUGAAUGCAAAAGGAAUUUUGUGGCUGUCUAUGAUGGAAGUAGCUCAGUGGAGGAUUUAAAAGCUAAAUUUUGUAGCACUGUUGCUAAUGAUGUGAUGCUGCGUACAGGUCUUGGGGUAAUCCGCAUGUGGGCAGAUGAAGGCAGUCGAAACAGCCGAUUCCAGAUGCUCUUCACAUCUUUCCAAGAACCCCCCUGUGAAGCCAAUGCAUUUUUUUGCCAUAGUAAUAUGUGUAUUAAUAAUACAUUGGUCUGCAAUGGACUUCAGAACUGUGUGUAUCCUUGGGAUGAGAACCACUGUAAAGAAAAAAGAAAGGCUAACCUUUUGGACCAACUUACCAAUACCAGUGGGACUAUAAUUGGGGUGACCUCUUGCAUUGUGAUCAUCCUCAUUAUUAUCUCUGUUGUAGUACAGAUCAAACAACCUCGUAAAAAAUUUGUCCAAAGGAAAACAGACUUUGAUCAAACAGUAUUCCAAGAGGUGUUUGAGCCUCCUCAUUAUGAGUUAUGUACUCUUAGAGGGACAGGGGCUGCAGCUGACCUUGCAGAUGUUGCAGAUGACUUUGAAAAUUAUCAUAAACUGCGGAGAUCAUCUUCAAAAUGCAUUCAUGACCAUCACUGUGGAUCACAACUGUCUAGCACUAAGGGCAGCCGUAGUAACCUCAGCACAAGAGAUGCUUCUAUCUUGACAGAAAUACAACCCCAGCCUGUAAAGCCCCUCAUCCAGCCCACGAACAGGAGAAAUAUCCUUGUCAUGAAGCAUAGCUACUCACAAGAUGCUGCAGAUGCGUGUGAGAUAGAUGAAAUUGAAGAGGUACCAACUACAAGUCACAGGCUGUCAAGACAUGAUAAAGCUGUCCAGCGCCAUAACAUUCCAGGUUCUGCCUCAUUGGGUCUCUAAGCAAACAUGAGUCUGAGUACAACACUACUAGGGUCUAAAAGGCAAACUCAAGAGAAGAACUAUUUACACAAACAUGGGGACUGUGAAAGGAAAAAUCUAUAGUGAAAUAUUUCAACUGACUGGGGAAAAAGUGGAUAUAUUUCUAAAUUCAUUCCACUGCCUUUAUCCAAACCUAAGAGUGACAGACAUUUCUUACUUCCUCAGCAAGAUAGUCCCAUUGCACAAUAACAUGUUUCUUUUCUAAUUUGGUUGCUGGCCACCAAGUGCUCCUUAGUUUUUAAAUACAUUUUGAGAUUUACUGGAAACUUGAAGAAGAAAUUAGUUCCUGGAUGAAACUAUCCUAGCUUUAUUUUUUAUGUUAGUGUUAUUUCAGUGGAUAUGUUGUAUGUCUUUAUCAGCUUGUCUAUUGUGUGAUAUGUAAAAGAAGAUGAUUUUACAUUGAACUUUUGUUAUAUGUACAUUGUUUUCAUUAUAUAGACUGCUUGAGAAUAGUUCGCUCCUGAGUGAUUUUGAACAUGCUCCAAUGAAAUGUGAAAGUAUGGACCAUGGAAACACCAGCUAGAGGUUUUAUGGACUCUGAUCAUCUGUUCUCAUACCAUGAUAAAGUUCAGCAAACUGAAUUGAGUAAAAUUACUAGAUGGCAAUAAGAUUCUAAUUGUUAUCAUUACUGACCAUUUUUCUUUUUUCCUCUCCUACCCCUUUUUAAAAUUUGGUUACAAAGUAAGAGACCCAGUUUCAGGUACAAUUUAUUUACAUGAGUUAUUUAGCCAUUCAUAAUAAUUUCAAUAGAAAUGUUUGUUUGGAAAUGCAUCUAGCAAAAUGACUGAAAUUGACCACUGAGAAAAUUAAUCUGCAUGUAUGUUACGGAAUAUUUGAGUUGAGAAAAAUCCCUUUUAUUACAUACAUUGUAAAAAGCAUGCAUUCACAAUUACUGCUGUUACUGUUCUAUUUUUUGUGUCAUAUGCUUGCUACUUGUAACUUUUUAUAUAAAGAUACAUAAAACAAUGUAUAAUAAUUUUUACCUUGAGUUUUAAAAUAAUGUUUUCAUUUAGUGAAACAAAACAACCUUACACAGAAAUUUACCAAAUCUUUCUACAAGGUUAUACUCAAUAUUCAGCUAUCUGGAACUGAAUAUCUAAUCUAACUAAACAAAUAUCUGUGUCACCC